UACGAAGGGGGCUAGCGUUGCUCGGAAUUACUGGGCGUAAAGCGCACGUAGGCGGAUUGUUAAGUCGGGGGUGAAAUCCUGGAGCUCAACUCCAGAACUGCCUUCGAUACUGGCGAUCUCGAGUUCGGGAGAGGUGAGUGGAACUGCGAGUGUAGAGGUGAAAUUCGCAGAUAUCGGGAGGAACACCAGUAGCGAAGGCGGCUCGCUGGGCCACACCUGACGCUGAGACGCGAAAGCUAGGGGAGCGAACAGG
rnacentral:rRNA from 1 species